GAAAUUAUUGGUCUUCGAAUCACCUUACCUGUGGAUGGGGUUCUAUGGUGAGUGGUCGGUAAGGUUUAAAAAGAAAUUUUUAAGCCGCCUGUGUUUGGAAAGAAGACAGAAAUAGGGGUCA
rnacentral:ncRNA from 2 species